rnacentral:tRNA from 1 species
GCCCAACUAGCUCAUUCGGUAGAGCAUGAGACUCUUAAUCUCGGGGUUGUGGGUUUGAGCCCCACGCUGGGCA